rnacentral:rRNA from 2 species
UUAAGCGACUAAGCGUACACGGUGGAUGCCCUGGCAGUCAGAGGCGAUGAAGGACGUGCUAAUCUGCGAUAAGCGUCGGUAAGGUGAUAUGAACCGUUAUAACCGGCGAUUUCCGAAUGGGGAAACCCAGUGUGAUUCGUCACACUAUCAUUAACUGAAUCCAUAGGUUAAUGAGGCGAACCGGGGGAACUGAAACAUCUAAGUACCCCGAGGAAAAGAAAUCAACCGAGAUUCCCCCAGUAGCGGCGAGCGAACGGGGAGCAGCCCAGAGCCUGAAUCAGUGUGUGUGUUAGUGGAAGCGUCUGGAAAGGCGCGCGAUACAGGGUGACAGCCCCGUACACAAAAAUGCACAUACUGUGAGCUCGAUGAGUAGGGCGGGACACGUGGUAUCCUGUCUGAAUAUGGGGGGACCAUCCUCCAAGGCUAAAUACUCCUGACUGACCGAUAGUGAACCAGUACCGUGAGGGAAAGGCGAAAAGAACCCCGGCGAGGGGAGUGAAAAAGAACCUGAAACCGUGUACGUACAAGCAGUGGGAGCACGCUUAGGCGUGUGACUGCGUACCUUUUGUAUAAUGGGUCAGCGACUUAUAUUCUGUAGCAAGGUUAACCGAAUAGGGGAGCCGAAGGGAAACCGAGUCUUAACUGGGCGUUAAGUUGCAGGGUAUAGACCCGAAACCCGGUGAUCUAGCCAUGGGCAGGUUGAAGGUUGGGUAACACUAACUGGAGGACCGAACCGACUAAUGUUGAAAAAUUAGCGGAUGACUUGUGGCUGGGGGUGAAAGGCCAAUCAAACCGGGAGAUAGCUGGUUCUCCCCGAAAGCUAUUUAGGUAGCGCCUCGUGAAUUCAUCUCCGGGGGUAGAGCACUGUUUCGGCAAGGGGGUCAUCCCGACUUACCAACCCGAUGCAAACUGCGAAUACCGGAGAAUGUUAUCACGGGAGACACACGGCGGGUGCUAACGUCCGUCGUGAAGAGGGAAACAACCCAGACCGCCAGCUAAGGUCCCAAAGUCAUGGUUAAGUGGGAAACGAUGUGGGAAGGCCCAGACAGCCAGGAUGUUGGCUUAGAAGCAGCCAUCAUUUAAAGAAAGCGUAAUAGCUCACUGGUCGAGUCGGCCUGCGCGGAAGAUGUAACGGGGCUAAACCAUGCACCGAAGCUGCGGCAGCGACGCUUAUGCGUUGUUGGGUAGGGGAGCGUUCUGUAAGCCUGCGAAGGUGUGCUGUGAGGCAUGCUGGAGGUAUCAGAAGUGCGAAUGCUGACAUAAGUAACGAUAAAGCGGGUGAAAAGCCCGCUCGCCGGAAGACCAAGGGUUCCUGUCCAACGUUAAUCGGGGCAGGGUGAGUCGACCCCUAAGGCGAGGCCGAAAGGCGUAGUCGAUGGGAAACAGGUUAAUAUUCCUGUACUUGGUGUUACUGCGAAGGGGGGACGGAGAAGGCUAUGUUGGCCGGGCGACGGUUGUCCCGGUUUAAGCGUGUAGGCUGGUUUUCCAGGCAAAUCCGGAAAAUCAAGGCUGAGGCGUGAUGACGAGGCACUACGGUGCUGAAGCAACAAAUGCCCUGCUUCCAGGAAAAGCCUCUAAGCAUCAGGUAACAUCAAAUCGUACCCCAAACCGACACAGGUGGUCAGGUAGAGAAUACCAAGGCGCUUGAGAGAACUCGGGUGAAGGAACUAGGCAAAAUGGUGCCGUAACUUCGGGAGAAGGCACGCUGAUAUGUAGGUGAAGUCCCUCGCGGAUGGAGCUGAAAUCAGUCGAAGAUACCAGCUGGCUGCAACUGUUUAUUAAAAACACAGCACUGUGCAAACACGAAAGUGGACGUAUACGGUGUGACGCCUGCCCGGUGCCGGAAGGUUAAUUGAUGGGGUCAGCGCAAGCGAAGCUCUUGAUCGAAGCCCCGGUAAACGGCGGCCGUAACUAUAACGGUCCUAAGGUAGCGAAAUUCCUUGUCGGGUAAGUUCCGACCUGCACGAAUGGCGUAAUGAUGGCCAGGCUGUCUCCACCCGAGACUCAGUGAAAUUGAACUCGCUGUGAAGAUGCAGUGUACCCGCGGCAAGACGGAAAGACCCCGUGAACCUUUACUAUAGCUUGACACUGAACAUUGAGCCUUGAUGUGUAGGAUAGGUGGGAGGCUUUGAAGUGUGGACGCCAGUCUGCAUGGAGCCGGCCUUGAAAUACCACCCUUUAAUGUUUGAUGUUCUAACGUUGACCCGUAAUCCGGGUUGCGGACAGUGUCUGGUGGGUAGUUUGACUGGGGCGGUCUCCUCCUAAAGAGUAACGGAGGAGCACGAAGGUUGGCUAAUCCUGGUCGGACAUCAGGAGGUUAGUGCAAUGGCAUAAGCCAGCUUGACUGCGAGCGUGACGGCGCGAGCAGGUGCGAAAGCAGGUCAUAGUGAUCCGGUGGUUCUGAAUGGAAGGGCCAUCGCUCAACGGAUAAAAGGUACUCCGGGGAUAACAGGCUGAUACCGCCCAAGAGUUCAUAUCGACGGCGGUGUUUGGCACCUCGAUGUCGGCUCAUCACAUCCUGGGGCUGAAGUAGGUCCCAAGGGUAUGGCUGUUCGCCAUUUAAAGUGGUACGCGAGCUGGGUUUAGAACGUCGUGAGACAGUUCGGUCCCUAUCUGCCGUGGGCGCUGGAGAACUGAGGGGGGCUGCUCCUAGUACGAGAGGACCGGAGUGGACGCAUCACUGGUGUUCGGGUUGUCAUGCCAAUGGCACUGCCCGGUAGCUAAAUGCGGAAGAGAUAAGUGCUGAAAGCAUCUAAGCACGAAACUUGCCCCGAGAUGAGUUCUCCCUGACUCCUUGAGAGUCCUGAAGGAACGUUGAAGACGACGACGUUGAUAGGCCGGGUGUGUAAGCGCAGCGAUGCGUUGAGCUAACCGGUACUAAUGAACCGUGAGGCUUAACCUU